rnacentral:rRNA from 1 species
GAUGAACGCUGGCGGCUUGCCUAAUACAUGCAAGUCGAGCGAACUGACGAGAAGCUUUCUUCUCUGAUGUUAGCGGCGGACGGGUUAGUAACACGUGGAUAACCGACCUAUUAGACUGGGAUAACUUCGGGAGACCGGAGCUAAUACCGGAUAAUUGUUUGAACCGCAUUGUUCAAAAGUUAAAGACGGUCUUCCUGUCACUUAUAGAUUGAUCCGCGCUGCAUUAGCUAGUUGGUAAUGUAACGGCUUACCAAGGCAACGAUGCAUAGCCGACCUGAGAGGGUGAUCGGCCACACUGGAACUGAGACACGGUACAGACUCCGACGGGAGGCAGCAGUAGGGAAUCUUCCGCAAUGGGCGAAAGCCUGAAGGAGCAACGCCGCGUGAGUGAUGAAGGUCUUCGGAGCGUAAAACUCUGUUAUUAGGGAAGAACAUAUGUGUAAGUAACUGUGCACAUCUUGACGGUACCUAAUCAGAAAGCAACGGCUAACUACGUG